CUGCAACAAUGCGCCGGUAGGGGGUGCCGUUAAGGGACACUCCCGUCUGAGUUAAAUAAGCGCUCGGCUAAAGCUAACGUCGGCCUUUUAGAGACAAGAAUCCAAUUGUAAGCUGCUAUAAGGACUUUAUGUCUGAGCUAGCGAAACUGUUGUCCUCGGACUUCACUGGUCUGACUGUUUACACUCCUGAAAUUGCAAACAUGUCCACCGACGUGAAGCCUGCCAUUGUACAGUCCACCAAUACCACGAUGCCAGCAGGCAGCAGUCGCGCAUCCUGCACAAUCUACGGGUGCAAGAGGUCCUACACGGACAUGACGGCGCUCAACAGUCACAUCAACGACCACCAGAUUCCUGCAGAGUCUUUGCCAGGGAAAGUAUUCCUGUGCUCUUCAUUGGGCUGUGAUGGGUCAUUCUCCAGCAUGCAACAGCUAAUGGAACACAUGAGGGUCCACUAUAAGCCAAAUAUCUUUUUCAUCUGUGAGAGUUGCCGGGCCAAGCUGCGAUCCUAUCGCACACUGCUGAAACACCUGCAAACCUGCGCUAAAGUAGCCAAGAGCAAGGCAGCGCGUGCAGGAGCGCUCGGUGAACAAGGGCCCGAGUCUGAGCUUCCGACCCCCAUCUCAGCACCUGACCCAUCGGAGGCGUACAAGGAGGAGGAUAUGGAGACAGAAAUCAGCCUGCCGCCCGCAGAAACCCCCACAGCUAUGGGGCGUUCACCCGACCCCCUGCUCUCUUCCAGUCCCAAGGAGGCUCCGGCUCAGAGUCCCAGCAGUGUGCCUCAGACCUCCCCAUCGCAACCACUGUCCUCCCCCUCGCCUCAGAGUGCUUCAGCUGCCUCCAAUGCUGUCUGGAGGAAAAAUCAAGACACGCCUGGGCCUCAAAUGCACAGAUGGAACUCUCCAAGCAGUCACACUAUAAGUAGAGGUACGGUCCAGGCCAGUCCUUCAGCAGCCGCAUCUUAUGGGAGCACACCAGGGGGCGCUACAACUGUCUCCAGUGUGGCCACAGCACCCCCAACCGCAAGGAGAUGACCACUCACAUCGAGGGCCAACAUAAGAGCCCCUCUGGAAAAACAUCCUCUGAGACUGACGGAACAGAGAGCCCUACACAGCUACAGUCUCCAUCAGAUGGGGAACUCUCGGCCAACACCCACCCGUGACUCAUUCUGCAUCACUCAGUAGUGAAUAAGGUCUUCGCCAUUGCAUCUCAUGACAGCACUGAAAACUCAGUUGUAAUAUUUCAUCAAAGGCUAUUUUGUGACGCAUAUGAGAAUAUUUUGAUGCUGCUUCAGUUGUAUGUUUUUUGUCUUGUCUUUGUGUUACCCUACAGACUAAUAAAAUAUUUCCAUGCUGAA